AGUCUGGUGCCAGCAGCCGCGGUAAUUCCAGCUCCAAUAGCGUAUAUUAAAGUUGCUGCAGUUAAAAAGCUCGUAGUUGGAUCUGGGGCUUGAGGUCACUGACUAUCGUUUCGGCGAUGACGGUGAUGCUCAGCUCUGCUUGCCGGUGACUGUUGCGGUGUUCUUCACUGAGCGCUGUAGCAGCACGGCACGUUUACUUUGAAAAAAUUAGAGUGCUCAAAGCGUGCUUGUCGCUUGAAUAAUGUUGCAUGGAAUAAUGGAAUAGGACCUCGGUUCUAUUUUGUUGGUUUUCGGAGCUUGAGGUAAUGAUUAAGAGGGACGAACGGGGGCAUUCGUAUUGCGGUGUUAGAGGUGAAAUUCUUGGAUCGCCGCAAGACGGACUACUGCGAAAGCAUUUGCCAAGAACGCUUUCAUUAAUUAAGAACGAAAGUCAGAGGUUCGAAGACGAUCAGACACCGUCCUAGUUCUGACCAUAAGCGAUGCCGACCAGCGAUCCGUAGUGGUUGCUUUAUGGACCCUACGGGCAGCCUCCGGGAAACCAGAGUAUUUGGGUUCCGGGGGAAGUAUGGUUGCAAAGCUGAAACUUAAAGGAAUUGACGGAAGGGCACACCAGGAGUGGAGCCUGCGGCUUAAUUUGACCCAACACGGGAAAACUCACCCGGUCCGGACACCGUAAGGAUUGACAGACUGAUAGCUCUUUCUUGAUUCGGUGGAUGGUGGUGCAUGGCCGUUCUUAGUUGGUGGACUGAUUUGUCUGGUUAAUUCUGAUAACGAACGAGACUCUAGCCUGCCAAGUAGUGUUGCUAUUGUUAUAUGGUUGACACUUCUUAGAGGGACAAGUGGCAUUUAGCCACGCGAAAUUGAGCAAUAACAGGUCUGUGAUGCCCUUAGAUGUCCGGGGCCGCACGCGCGCUACACUGGAGAAGUCAGCGUGUGUUAUCCAAGUCCGAAAGGACUGGGUAAUCCGUUGAACCUUCUUCGUGCUUGGGACUGAGGCUUGGAACUAUUCCACAUGAACGAGGAAUUCCUAGUAAUUGCAAGUCAUAAGCUUGCGUUGAUUACGUCCCUGCCCUUUGUACACACCGCCCGUCGCUACUACCGAUUGAAUGGUUUAGCAAGGUCCUCGGAUCGUGGCCGUAGGGGCACGCAAGUGUUUCUGCGGUUUGCGAGAAGACGACCAAACUUGAUCAUUUAGA
rnacentral:rRNA from 1 species